CCAGAGAAAUAUGUUAUGAGUUGAUAACCAGGUCCAUUCCCAGCAGGUCACUAUCCAGAGCCAGCAACCAGCAUCUCAGCAGCAGAAAGUCUACACCACCCAGCAGGCCAUCAAAGCCCAAUUCCUACCAACGCCGAUUUCUCAGCCCCAGAAGACAGGCGGGGCACAGCAGGUCCAGACCCAAAUACAGGUUGCCAAGAUCCCACAGGUGGUCUCCCAACAAGCAGCGGUGGCUAACAUCCAGCAGGUGGUUUCGGUUUCCCAACAGGUUCAAGCUCAGCCCCAAACGGUCACCUUGUCCCAGACCACCGCGGGGCAACACCAAGUCCAGGUCAUUCCAGCCACCACCGCCACAGCUCAGGUCGUCCCCCAGAAACUGAUCCAACAGCAAGUGGUGACCACCGCCUCCCCCCAGAUCCAAGCCUCGGUCGUGCCGAACCCUGGCCAGGCGCCCGCCCCGCCCGACGGGCAGAGCCAGCCAACGAAAGUGCAGAUGAGAGCGCCCGUCCGGCUAAAGGCUCCAAACAAGCCCAGCUGAGUAGUCUGCCAUUUGUUGGCAGCAAGACAAGGAGAGACAGAGAGAGAGACAGAGAGGGCUCUCUGGGUGGUCUCCAGUCCGGCGAGAUCGGAAGUUAGGCUUCUCUCUCCGACGAAACUUCCCCUCGCCUGCGUCAGAAAGGGACGUUCCUACCCUUACUCUCCUCCAGACUCCUCUGCUUCGCGGAGAGAUCCGUGGCUUUUGAAGCCGAAGCCCAAGGAAAUGCCGUUCUGCCUAAGGUCCUCCUUUAGGCCCGACCGCUCGCCGACGCUCGCUGGCCUUUUGGUGGAAACACCGCCGCCACCACCACCACCCCCUCCACACAAUCGCUUCUCCUGUAUGGUAGCAACGCCGGUCGUUUUAUCGUCGCCCCUGUCCGGAAGGGGGAAAUCUUGAGAGCUUUGUGGGGUGCAAAGCCGGACACUUGUGCUUCUCCGAGGGGUGGGGGGGGGGGGCGGGGGGGGGGGGGGAGGACGGAAAGGUUUAGCCCAAAGCACUCCCUGUUCCGUUGAAGCCGAGAAAUGUGAAGAUUUGUAAGUAUCUGUAAUUAUACACCGUAUUUCAGUUGCCGUUUUUGGGGGCGGGGGGUUGUUUGAGCCUUUUUUAAACAAACAAACAUUAACUUGUGGCACGUUGGUUUGUGGGGGGUGGGCAGGCGUUUUGCUGUUUUGCUUAAUCGGUCUUUGUGUUUGUUGCGUGUGUGUGCGUGCGCUUUUUUUUUUUUCCGUUUUGUACAGAGAAAACUCUUCGUUUUAAGCUUCCCUUUUUUCGCGGUUUCAGAUAUUAAGUGCUUAGACACGUGUUUGGUUGGUUGGGCUUCUUCUUUUUUUAAGGUAUUAAUAUUAUGUGACAGUAACUGUUUCAUCAUCACCACCCACCGUUCUCGGCCCCCUUUUUCAUGAGUGGGGGGCGGGGGAAAAAAAACCCCAACUAUAUGUUUCUUCGCUUGUCCAAUGUUUUGUUCUUGGGUUGUUGGUUCUUUGGUGGGGCUUCCAGGCUGAAGGAAAUUUAACUUACGGGUUUCCAGCGUUGGUUUUGGCCCUUUCGUUUUUGCGGUCUUGUUUUUAAAAGUUUAUAUUUACGUUUCACAGGGAUAGAAGAGAGAGAGAGAGAGACGUUCAGGCAAAUUAUAAUUUUUUUCUUUAUUUGUUAAAAGAGAAUAUCCACACCACAAUUUUAGACAGAGGUAUUUUUCAGACCUUCAGUUGUUAGAAACAGUCCUUCUUCUUCUUCUUCUUCUUCUUCUUCUUCCUCUUCUUCUUCUUCUUCUUCU